UACGAAGGGGGGCUAGCGUUGCUCGGAAUCACUGGGCGUAAAGGGUGCGUAGGCGGGUCUUUAAGUCAGGGGUGAAAUCCUGGAGCUCAACUCCAGAACUGCCUUUGAUACUGAGGAUCUUGAGUUCGGGAGAGGUGAGUGGAACUGCGAGUGUAGAGGUGAAAAUUCGUAGAUAUUCGCAAGAACACCAGUGGCGAAGGCGGCUCACUGGCCCGAUACUGACGCUGAGGCACGAAAGCGUGGGGGAGCAAACAGG
rnacentral:rRNA from 1 species